CUGGAACUACACACUACUGUUUUACCAUGUAGUGGUGUAGCUAACUACUGGAACUACACACUACUGUUUUACCAUGUAGUGGUGUAGCUAACUACUGGAACUACACACUGUGUGUUCCUGUGUGUGUGUGUGUGUGUGUGUGUGUGUGUGUGUGUGUGUGUGUGUGUGUGUGUUAAUGUUGUGUUUUCAAUGAACAGGCCUGUUGUCACCUAUUCAUGAAGAGAAGACUGCAGAGGACGAGCCUCGUCAGGGUUACUACGGUAAUGACACAGCGCUCCACCACCGUGGCCACCCUCUCCACUCAUCCCUUUCUCCUGAAGAGCUCUAGAUGAACAGAGCAGAAGACAGGAACACCAAGACAUUACUUCCUUUUAACAUCAGUUUUUUUAAUUUUAUGAAUGGUGUCUCGGAAUGGUGUCCCUGAAUAGGGUCCCUGAAUGCUGUCUUGAUGGGGGGGUUUAUUGCCCUCCUCCUGGGUCCUGGAGAUCCUCAAAAGACCCCUGAAGGACAUUUCCCCCCCGCCACGAGUACAACGGCUAUUUUAGGAUUAGGGGAAAAUAGGAUUUUUUAUGGAAAAA
ensembl:lncRNA